rnacentral:rRNA from 1 species
AGAGUUUGAUCAUGGCUCAGGACGAACGCUGGCGGCGUGCCUAAUACAUGCAAGUUGAGCGAUGAAGAUUGGUGCUUGCACCAAUUUGAAGAGCAGCGAACGGGUGAGUAACGCGUGGGGAAUCUGCCUUUGAGCGGGGGACAACAUUUGGAAACGAAUGCUAAUACCGCAUAAUAACUUUAAACAUAAGUUUUAAGUUUGAAAGAUGCAAUUGCAUCACUCAAAGAUGAUCCCGCGUUGUAUUAGCUAGUUGGUGAGGUAAAGGCUCACCAAGGCGAUGAUACAUAGCCGACCUGAGAGGGUGAUCGGCCACAUUGGGACUGAGACACGGCCCAAACUCCUACGGGAGGCAGCAGUAGGGAAUCUUCGGCAAUGGACGAAAGUCUGACCGAGCAACGCCGCGUGAGUGAAGAAGGUUUUCGGAUCGUAAAACUCUGUUGGUAGAGAAGAACGUUGGUGAGAGUGGAAAGCUCAUCAAGUGACGGUAACUACCCAGAAAGGGACGGCUAACUACGUGCCAGCAGCCGCGGUAAUACGUAGGUCCCGAGCGUUGUCCGGAUUUAUUGGGCGUAAAGCGAGCGCAGGUGGUUUAUUAAGUCUGGUGUAAAAGGCAGUGGCUCAACCAUUGUAUGCAUUGGAAACUGGUAGACUUGAGUGCAGGAGAGGAGAGUGGAAUUCCAUGUGUAGCGGUGAAAUGCGUAGAUAUAUGGAGGAACACCGGUGGCGAAAGCGGCUCUCUGGCCUGUAACUGACACUGAGGCUCGAAAGCGUGGGGAGCAAACAGGAUUAGAUACCCUGGUAGUCCACGCCGUAAACGAUGAGUGCUAGAUGUAGGGAGCUAUAAGUUCUCUG